GACUCAGUGGUGGAGUAUCUGCUUGGAAUGCAGACUGUCCCAGGUUCAAUUAAUGGCAUCUCCA
rnacentral:tRNA from 1 species